rnacentral:sRNA from 1 species
GGUUCUGGGCCUCCUGGAGCAUCAUGAGAAGGCAUAGGGAUGCUCAGCCUGAAAAGCAGGAGAUGCUGCAGGCAGGACAGCUGGCCUGAAAGAAGUGGGAAAGAAAUUGCAAUGAUCAACUGUUCAGAUUAUCAAAGAACACCAAAGAUUAUAGAAGACCACCAGCAAAAUUAUAUAAUCGUAAAAAAGAGUAUUAAGACAAAUUCUUCAGCCAGGUAAAAAAAAAAAAAAAAAGAGAGAACAUUGGCCGGGCGCGGUGGCUCACGCCUGUAAUCCCAGCAUUUUGGGAGGCCGAGGCAGGCGAAUCACGAGGUCAGGAGAUCGAGACCAUCCUAACUAACACGGUGAAACCCCAUCUCUACUAAAAAGACAAAAACAGAAUUUGCCGGGUGUGGUGGCGGUCACCUGCAGUCCCAGCUACUCGGGAAGCUGAGGCAGGAGAAUGGCGUGAACCCGGGAGGUGGAGCUUGCAGUGAACCGAGAUUGCGUCACUGCGCUCCAGCCUGGGCGACAGAGCGAGACUCCGUCUC